AUGUGGGCCUGUGCUGCACGGAGCGGGGCAGGGCUCAGAGGGGCUGUGUCUCAUGGCCUCGCUCUCUCUCCCUUUGCAGCUAGCGACACGGCCCCGUCUGUCUUCCCCCUGACCUCCUGCACCGGCGAAGUCACCACCUCCCCGGUCACCUUCGGCUGCCUGGCCAAAGGCUACUUCCCCGAGCCGGUCACCGUGACAUGGAGCCCUAACGUCGGCUCCUCGGGCGUGAGGACCUAUCCCUCCGUGCUGCAACCUUCCAGCGGCCUCUACUCGCUCAGCAGCCAGGUCACCGUCCCGGCCACCAGCUGGAAGUCUGACACCUAUAGCUGCACCGUAAAGCACCCGCCCACCAGCCGCAGCAUCUCCACGGAAAUCCCAAAGUCCAUUAAACCUAAGGUGGAAGUGCUCUACUCCUGCACCACCAAACCAGGCACCGUCCAGCUGGUGUGCUUAAUCUCUGGCUUCAACCCUAAGCCUUUGACGGUGCAAUGGAUGGUGGCCGGCAAGCCCAGUGGCGCCGCCACUACCACGGAGGAAGCCGACGGCCACACCUUCAGUGUCUCCGAGAGCGAGUGGCUGGAGGGCAAGACGUACACGUGCGAGGUGUCCCAGACGGGCACCACAACAAUGCAGGCCCACGCCCACAAGUGCGGAGGUGACGCUCGCCGGCACUAGGCUCCCUACGAAGAGGAGGGGCAGUGGGGGAUUCAGGGUUACUGGGGCCCUGUGAUCAGCCGCAUUUUGGGGCCCUCCUUGGGCCCACGUG